ensembl:misc_RNA Metazoa_SRP Metazoan signal recognition particle RNA
GCGGGGCGUGGUGGCGCUCGCCUGUAAUCCCAGCUACUCAGGAGGCUGAGGCAGGAGAAUCGCUUGAACCCAGGAGGCGCAGGUUGCAGUGAGCAGAGAUUGCGCCACUGCACUCUACCCUGGGCAACAGAGCAAUACACCGCCUCAA